rnacentral:rRNA from 1 species
GACGAACGCUGGCGGCGUGCUUAACACAUGCAAGUCGAACGGGCCUGUCUUCUUUUUUGGGGGUGGGUUGAGUGGCGAACGGGUGAGUAUCACGUGAGUAACCUGCCCUUCGGUCCUGGAUAACCGCUUGAAAGGGCGGCUAAUACGGGGUGGUCCGGUUGGUCCGCAUGGGCUGGUCGGGAUAGAUUCACUGUUUUUGGUGUUUCGGCGGGGGAUGGGCUCGCGGCCUAUCAGCUUGUUGGUGGGGUGAUGGCCUACCAAGGCGGUGACGGGUAGCCGGCCUGAGGGGGUGGGCGGCCACACUGGGACUGAGAUACGGCCCAGACUCCUGCGGGAGGCGGCAGUGGGGGGUAUUGCACAAUGGGCGGAAGCCUGAUGCAGCGACGUCGCGUGAGGGAUGGAGGCCUUCGGGUUGUGAACCUCUGUUUCCGGUGGUGAAGGCCCUGUCCGUGUGGUGGGGUUGACGGUAGCCGGGGAUGAAGCGCCGGCUAACUACGUG